ensembl:lncRNA
CGACAUCACUGCAGCCAACGUGCUUGACACUGAGCUGCUUUGCUGAGGUCUGAAACAAGGGGAGCCUGAUUCCGCCUCUCCUCUGUCUCCCAUCUCACCACGACAUGCGAGACAUUGCUAACCACCACUCCCAGAGGAUCUCCUAUCCUUCUGAUCUUAGUGUAACCAAAAGUCAUUCUGAAUGGAUAAAGAAAAUGUGGUACAGCUACACAAUGGAAUUCUAUUCAGCUAUUAAAAACAAAGACAUCGUGAAUUUUGCAGGCAAAUGGAUGGACCUUGAAAAUAUCAUCCUGAGUGAGGACCACAGGUGACCAUGGGUAACUUGAAACCACGGACUGAGAACUACAGAGGAGCAUCCAUUCCCACUGCAAGGCUGUAACCGGACGUUAACAUGCUCAGUGGAGCUGCAGACUGAUAUGUUCACCAGCAACGAGGCCGACACAGCCAGCAUCACUGAC